rnacentral:rRNA from 2 species
CCUACGGGAGGCAGCAGUAGGGAAUCUUCCGCAAUGGACGAAAGUCUGACGGAGCAACGCCGCGUGAGUGAUGAAGGUUUUCGGAUCGUAAAACUCUGUUGUUAGGGAAGAACAAGUACCGUUCGAAUAGGGCGGUACCUUGACGGUACCUAACCAGAAAGCCACGGCUAACUACGUGCCAGCAGCCGCGGUAAUA